rnacentral:rRNA from 1 species
AACGAACGCUGGCGGCAUGCCUAACACAUGCCAGUCGAACGAGACCUUCGGGUCUUUUGGCGCACGGGUGCGUAACGCGUGGGAACCUUCCCUUAUGUUCGGAAUAACUCCCCGAAAGGGGUGCUAAUACCGGACAAUGUCUUCUGACCAAAGAUUUAUCGCCUUUGGAUGGGCCCGCGUUGGAUUAGCUAGUUGGUAGGGUAAAAGCCUACCAAGGCGACGAUCCAUAGCUGGUCUGAGAGGAUGAUCAGCCACACUGGGACUGAGACACGGCCCAGACUCCUACGGGAGGCAGCAGUGGGGAAUAUUGGACAAUGGGCGAAAGCCUGAUCCAGCAAUGCCGCGUGAGUGAUGAAGGCCUUAGGGUUGUAAAGCUCUUUUACCCGGGAUGAUAAUGACAGUACCGGGAGAAUAAGCUCCGGCUAACUCCGUG